rnacentral:rRNA from 1 species
UACGUAGGGCGCAAGCGUUAUCCGGAAUUAUUGGGCGUAAAGAGCUCGUAGGCGGUUUGUCGCGUCUGCUGUGAAAACCCGAGGCUCAACCUCGGGCCUGCAGUGGGUACGGGCAGACUAGAGUGCGGUAGGGGAGAUCGGAAUUCCUGGUGUAGCGGUGAAAUGCGCAGAUAUCAGGAGGAACACCAGUGGCGAAGGCGG